UACAGAGGGGGCAAGCGUUGUUCGGAAUUACUGGGCGUAAAGGGCGCGUAGGCGGCCUUCUAAGUCGAACGUGAAAUCCCCGGGCUCAACCCGGGAACUGCGUCCGAGACUGAAAGGCUUGAAUCCGGGAGAGGGAUGUGGAAUUCCAGGUGUAGCGGUGAAAUGCGUAGAUAUCGGGAGGAACACCAGUAGCGAAGGCGGCUCGCUGGGCCACACCUGACGCUGAGACGCGAAAGCUAGGGGAGCGAACAGG
rnacentral:rRNA from 1 species